rnacentral:sRNA from 1 species
GCUGGGCGUAGUAGCGCAUACCUGUAAUCCCAGUGGCUUGGGAGGCUGAGGCAGGAGGAUCAUGAGUUCAAAGCCAGCUUCAGCAGAAGCAGGGCUAAGCAACUCAGUGAGACCCUGUCUGUA